AUGAAGGCAAGUGACUCAUCAUCCAGCAUACCUAAUUUUGAUAGUGACCGGUUUCGCUCUAAGAAGUAUGAAGAGUAUUACGUGACUACGCAUAAACGAGGAAUGCUCCUAAGGGUGAAGCCAAAUUGGAGGCAUCUUAGGGCUCAAAUCCAAAAGCUAGAUACAGAUAAGCAAAAAUGGGCUUCUAUUCCCCAUGAAAUGGAAGUCUUACGUCAAAAGUGA